AGGACCGGAGGCCAGUCACAGGCCACAGCCAGCGGGGGCUCGGCCGGCCCAGCGCCACCGCUCGAGUGCCUGCAGGAGCCCCCCGCACUCCUUCACCCGUCUCCUGGGUGUGGUGGGGUUACUGUGGCCCAAGGAGCCACGUUCUCUUAGAAUCUGAAGGAAUUCAGGACAGUCAGCUGAAGGCCAGAAGAGUUCUCGGAGUAGCUGGGCCGGGAACAUCGCCAGAGCUGGCAGUGACUUUGCAAACAUACCUAGAAUUGCUUCAGUCGGAGAAGUGACAGGCUCGAGAUGAAGAAAUAGGCUGGAGGAACCCCCUGAGAGGCAACGGGUUGUGGGGAGCGUGAGCAGAAACAAGGCUGAGAGGAGAAACUGGGGUAUUUUCUGCUAUCAAAUCUCACAACCGAGGCCAUGAGAACCCGGGCGCCUGGAGGAGCAGGGCCCCAGUGCUUAAGGAGUAGGCUCUCGAACGCUGGGCAAACCUGCCACCAGGAGAAGCUGUGGCCGCAGCUGAGAAUUCAGACCAAAGAGGGGAAGUCACAUAAAAACCAACAAGAAGGAGAGGUUUGCAGUGGAUUUCAGUGGAGAUCUGUCCUCUGCAGGGGUCAGGGAACUAGCCAGCACUUCCCACAUGCAGCUCCAGGCCCAGCACACGUGGCUCUGCUGGAGAACCGAGUCAUAGGUCAUGUGAACGCUUUUAGGUCAACAGUCCGCCAUCUUGGUCCUGAGCUGGGCUGUGCCAAAGCAAACUCUUUCAAUGGGGCAUCAUGAAUAUUGAAAUCUCCAUUAUCUGAAGGUCCUCCACUAUCCCAGGGUUCACAGUGGACACUUGAGCCCUGUGGAUACCUGCUUGCAUCCUAGGAACCACCUCGGGAGAAGUUCAAAGAUACAUUGAAACCUAUUGAGAGGGUAGCUGUGGAUGAAAAAUGUUUUAAAAUGACAAUAAUAGAAUUUUAGCAUUUUAUAGAGAAAGCAUCUUUCAAACUAUGUUGUAAAUCAAUCAAUAAAAUACUAUUUUGCUUCCCCAAAUAUAUUAAUAUAUGACUUUGAAGAGAUAAAACGUAUGAUAAAAUUACAGUGAAAUUCAGGUGCAAUGCUCAGUGGCUACAAAUGUAUGAUGUGGCUGCAUUUUUCCGGACACUGAAGUAAGAAACACACAACUUUCAAUAGCAGAGGUUUCAGCAAUCCAGGAUGCACUUCAUUUUACGUACAAAAAAGCAAUACCUUUCCCCCGGAACCUGACCACUUCCUUCUCCCCUACACUGCAUAGACAUCAUUCCGUAUAGAACGUUUUCAGAUUUAUGUGCCCAGCUGUAGAAUCCUUGACAAAGAAUGCUUUUAUUAUGGACUUCUGAAAAUUUUCCAAGUGUC
rnacentral:lncRNA from 1 species